ACCCACCCGGGCCGCGCGGCGGGCAGGGCUCCUGCGGGGAGCCCGGCCCUGACCGGCGGGGUCACGCGGCCGGCGGGGGCUCC
rnacentral:tRNA from 1 species